rnacentral:lncRNA from 1 species
UAAUACUUGGCGGCAAGUCCAACUUACAUGCCACCUCACCAACCUGCUGACAAAACCAAGGGUCUCCACACAAGAAGGGCCAAUUCUGAUCCUGCCAAAAAUCCACUCACCAAGUUUCCUUCCUAAUGACAUGCCCCUUACACGUACAGAAAAAAUCCUUAACAUCUACAUCACAUCAUCCUCGAUAUAACAUCCAUCUGAUCGCAUCAACCGACACAACCCAUGCCAUCUUGACACAAGAUUC